rnacentral:rRNA from 1 species
CCUACGGGGGGCAGCAGUGGGGAAUAUUGCACAAUGGGGGGAACCCUGAUGCAGCGACGCCGCGUGGGUGAAGGAGUAUUUCGGUAUGUAAAGCCCUAUCAGCAGGGAAGAACAAUGACGGUACCGGACUAAGAAGCACCGGCUAAAUACGUGCCAGCAGCCGCGUUAAUACGUAUGGUGCGAGCGUUAUACGGAUUUACUGGGUGUAAAGGGAGCGCAGGCGGCGCGUUAAGCCUGGUGUGAAAGCCCGCGGCCCAACCGCGGGACUGCAUUGGGAACUGGCGCGCUUGAGUGCCGGAGGGGUAGGCGGAAUUCCUAGUGUAGCGGUGAAAUGCGUAGAUAUUAGGAGGAACACCAGUGGCGAAGGCGGCCUACUGGACGGUGACUGACGCUGAGGCUCGAAAGCGUGGGGAGCAAACAGGAUUAGAUACCCGAGUAGUC